CACGUAGGGGGCGAGCGUUGUCCGGAUUUAUUGGGCGUAAAGAGCUCGUAGGUGGUUCGGUAAGUCGGGUGUGAAAACUCUGGGCUCAACUCAGAGACGCCACCCGAUACUGCUGUGACUCGAGUCUGGUAGGGGAGUGUGGAAUUCCCGGUGUAGUGGUGAAAUGCGUAGAUAUCGGGAGGAACACCAGUGGCGAAGGCGGCUUCCUGGCCUGUUCUUGACGCUGAGGCGCGAAAGCUAGGGGAGCAAACGGG
rnacentral:rRNA from 1 species